UACGAAGGGGGCUAGCGUUGUUCGGAAUUACUGGGCGUAAAGCGCACGUAGGCGGAUAUUUAAGUCAGGGGUGAAAUCCCAGAGCUCAACUCUGGAACUGCCUUUGAUACUGGGUAUCUUGAGUAUGGAAGAGGUAAGUGGAAUUCCGAGUGUAGAGGUGAAAUUCGUAGAUAUUCGGAGGAACACCAGUGGCGAAGGCGGCUUCUUGGUCUGUAACUGACACUGAGGCGCGAAAGCGUGGGGAGCAAACAGGAUUAGAUACCCUUGUAGU
rnacentral:rRNA from 1 species